UGUUAACAUCUGUAACACCCAGGGACUUGGCAGGGUAAGAGGUUGUCUUUGAGCACUUCUCAGUUAUUGCUGACGUUUGGGAUAAAUGAGUUUCUGCUCUGGCUGCUUCAGGCUGUGCUGAAGAGCACAGGAAUGCCGUUACAAACGGAGCCCCUCAGACGUGCUGCUCGCUGCACUGCUUUUUGCUUAGCUUUAAUAACCUGCUUGUCUCUUCUCUGUUCUUCUACCUGAAAUGUUUGCACAAGCUCUGCAUGGAGGACAGGGAGGGAGCUUCCAGCAGCUUGUCUGGCACACACAGGGAAGCAUUUCCAGCACAGAGGCUGACCGCACCUCCCAGGUGUGUGCGGGUGCGUUGGGUGCUUUCCAUCAGCAGGCCACUCCAUUUUUGCCUGCGUUGGUCUCAGGUCGGUGAGCUCACUUUAUCCUGCUGUCAGAUGAAACUGACAGCAUUUCUAACCAUCUCUCUGGCUGUACUGGAACACAGAGCAGUGCCAGGCUUGGUUCUGUUCCCCAGCAGCAUCUGGGCUGGGACUGAAAACUUCAGUAUUAAUUAUGGUGUUCUUGCUGGGCUCCACAGUAUUAUUUUGAUGUUGUAGGUUAGCAACCGAUGGUAUUAUCCCUCUCUGCUUAGCUGCACUUCUCAAAGUCCUUCUGAUUAAGAAACUUUACUGAAGAUUUUUUUCUGAACAUCUUUCUAAAGAAGGGAACAAAAGAUGACUUGUUCCAUUGGCUCGCCCUGAAGUGUUUCUUGACAUGUACGUCUUUAUGUGAUUGUUCUCACUGCCACAAGUGCAGCUGCACGGGAUGCUGUGACUGCUGAUCCUUCCUCGUCUGUUGAGUACGGAUUUCCCUGACUCUCGUGCCUCACAUUUGCUGCAGUCUGCAGUGCACCAUGCUGACUGCGAGGUGUUCGUUGCUGCCCCGCUGUGAGGAGAAACAAGCAUCUUGUUGAACGCGGCGUGUUGCAACCGGCUCCGGUUACCUGAGGACACUGAAAUUGGAGGCGGCUGAAUCUUGGAAGUGUUCUCUAUUUCAGGGAAGCAGCAGCUCUUCCCAGUUCUGUGUCUUCUGCAAACUGACUCAGUGUGUCUUCCAGCCCUGGAUCCAAGUUGAAGAAGACAUCAAAGAGAACUGGCCCCAAAACUGAGCCCUGCAAACCCUAGCAGUGACUGAAGCAGCAGAAGGGUUGCUCUGAUUUGCACCCACUGUAAGGGAUAAGCAGAGUGGCACUAGGACAGAAACUAUCUGUAACUAUGCCAGUGUCUCACUUGAAUGCACCACAUUUUUUCCUUUCCUUUGGGAAGUGAUUUUUGGAUGUCACCUGGAAUGCCCUUUGAUCCUGAUUCAUAUAUGAACUACAUUUGUGUUUGGUUGUUUGUUUUGAGACAUGACAGGCAGAGGCUGGAGCUGCUGCCAGCCUGGUGCAGUGCUGAUAUGGAGAAAAGUCCUGGGGACCCUAUGGGCAGUUUGUUGCAAUGGGGGCAGCUCUCCCUCCCCUCUGCCAUGGCAGCUCCCUGUGUGUUUGCCCACCUGUAGGGCGAACAUGUUGGCUUAUCAGAGCCUCUCUCAGGGAGGAUGGUACUCAGAGACCUAAAAUGCACUGAUGGCUCUGGCAGCUGCCACACUGCCUCUGUUGAAGGAGCGCUGGACUCGUUUUCAUCCCAACACCUGCUGAGGAUUGUCUCGGAAAUCCAAAGGAGAAAAUAAUCUGUGUGCUGUUCUGAUUGUUUUGUGGGAAAAUUGAGAAGAGUUUGUGCAGAUCCUGCUUUGUAAGGACAGAAGAUGUGUGCAGGAGAUUGUGGCAGGGUCAGCCUUGAGAGUCUACAACUGCAAAACUCCUGUUUUCCAGAGCAGGAACUUACAUAAAGAACCACUGUGCUUACAGCAGUACAGAGCAUUGGUUGCUUCAACAUUUGAAGCAAUUUUCUCAAUAUCUUCAUCAUUUGAAGGGGAGAUCUCAAGAACUGCAUGAAGUACAGCUCGAGAGCAGCAUGAAGUACACAUCCCUGUUAUCUUUCUGCCUUUUCCAGUGACUUCCCAGCCCCUGUGCCUGCUUGUCCACCAGCCCUGCUCUGACUUUGGCUUUUGGCAUGCUGCUGCUGUGCAGAGGGUGCCCAGUGCUCAGUGAUG